rnacentral:rRNA from 1 species
GACGAACGCUGGCGGCGUGCUCAACACAUGCAAGUCGAACGGAAAGGCCCUGCUUUUGUGGGGUGCUCGAGUGGCGAACGGGUGAGUAACACGUGAGUAACCUGCCCUUGACUUUGGGAUAACUUCAGGAAACUGGGGCUAAUACCGGAUAGGAGCUCCUGCUGCAUGGUGGGGGUUGGAAAGUUUCGGCGGUUGGGGAUGGACUCGCGGCUUAUCAGCUUGUUGGUGGGGUAGUGGCUUACCAAGGCUUUGACGGGUAGCCGGCCUGAGAGGGUGACCGGCCACAUUGGGACUGAGAUACGGCCCAGACUCCUACGGGAGGCAGCAGUGGGGAAUAUUGCACAAUGGGCGGAAGCCUGAUGCAGCAACGCCGCGUGCGGGAUGACGGCCUUCGGGUUGUAAACCGCUUUCGCCUGUGACGAAGCGUGAGUGACGGUAAUGGGUAAAGAAGCACCGGCUAACUACGU